rnacentral:lncRNA from 1 species
UUUCUUGUGGGAUUUGGGGCUGUGGCUUACAUUCUGGCAUCUCAGUUUCUCAGUUGUAUGGUACUGGACACCCAAAGGAAACUUAAGGAAGGGCGCUCAUGCAGCAGUGUGGAAGAAUCGGAUUGGUUAAAGUACCACUCUAAAAGACAUCACCAGACAAAGGCAGGUGAGGCAUGAGACGCUGCUGACGUCCUUUGGCUUCCUGUUCAUGAGGCUGUGCUUGGCAUCCUCGGAUUUAGGCACAGUGUGAAUUUUCUUAGACUUCACCCUCCAGACCUCAUUUUGUUUCAUCAGCCCUUCCCUGCCUAUCAGAAAUUUGGUGUCUCUUUCCUCCCUGUGGAUCCCAGUGCUGAGAAGCCAGCAGCAGUCAAGAGAAGUCACAAGAUUGUUUGUGUGUUGGUGGUGUUUUUAUGAAUGCAGGAAUUACCACAAUUGUAUGAAUAAUUCAUUCAUGAAAAUGAUGCUUGAAAAAGAAAAGUACUCUUCUAUUAUUCUUGG